ACGUCAGCCCGUGUGCUCCCAGCAGCAGCUGCCUCUUCCCCGGUCUCCCUGGCUCCAGCCUCUUCCUGUUCCAGCCUGGCCCACAUUCUCCUGCCAGAAUAAACUUCCUGGGGUAGCAGAGAACCCAGUUUGAGCCUAAACCCUGUCUGGGCUGGCCAUUCAAACUGAUGGACAGUUACGACAAGAUGUUUAUCUGGACGAGGGCUCGGGAAGCCUUUGGGAGAAAGUCAUCUUGAGGGGAAAAAAAAGAGAAUUGAAAAGGAAAGCUCCCUCGGGUACUAAAUCCUGAGUUGUCAGAGGGGAGAGAUGGUUCUGAAUUCACCUGGGAACCUAUGAAUAUUCUCCUGGCUUUUGAGUUUUCAUCCAGAGGAAAGCUGACGAACUAAAGCGAGGAGAAACUUUAUACGGAAGUUCCUGUCUGUCUUCAGAGCCAAACAAGCAUCGGUUGAUAUGCUGCAAACUGUGGGGAGCCCCGGGGGUAAAGGUUACUUGCCCCCAGUCCUCUGCAGCCCAGAGGAUUCAGAGGGUGGUGUCUGCCGGUAGAACUCAGAGUGUGCCGCAGGGUAGAUGUUCUCUUAAAAAAAGUGCCGUCAGAGAUCGGGAGACACCUUGCUCUGUGAUGGCAGUCAGUGAGACACGCGGGCAGGACCCGGGUCCCGGCUGUAGGGCUGGUUCUACACAAGGGAGGCACCCCAUUUAUUUAUGGCCACGUGUGACCUGCUCCCCAAGACUGUGAGAAAUACUUCACGCAGCUUUAGAAGGAGCUGAAGCUUUUUUUUUUUUUUUAAGAUUUAUUUAUUUAUUUUGGGGGCUGCGCUGGGUCUUCCUUGCGGUGCUUCGUUGCCCCGUGGCAGGUGGGAUCUUCCUGGACCAGGGAUCGAACCCGUGUCCCCUGCAUUGCAACACGGACUCUUAACCACUGGACCACCAAGGAAGCCCGGAGCUGAAGGACUGAGUUUCGGCACCAUAGGGAAGUGUGAUUUUGGGCAGAAUUUGUGAAGCUCUUCUCCAUGGGCCUUGAUGGAGAACAUCUUUGGGAAAUAAUCUACAGCUAGAAUUUGUCCUGAUCAGGACAUUCGAAAUGAUCGAGCCCUUCUUCAUGGGAGAUAUAGCAUUUAGUGGGCACGCCGGUGAUCUGAAGUCAAGGAUGAAUUCACGGUGGCUCUUGGUGCCGCGGUUCUUUCCACGUUCACUUGGAGCCUGCAUGUGCUGCAGACUGCAUGCAACCCAGUGACGCUGUCCUCCAGCAUCAGUAAGAUGCCCUGCAUCCAAAAUGAAGCCGCAUUUCACAGGGAGGUUGCCGUGACUUCUACUGACCCUAGGUUAUGAGCAAAAUGCUGAACAUGUAAAUGUAAAAAAAACACGUGUUCGCUUUCACUGUUCCUUAUGUAUCUACGUGCGUGUGCAUCUGUGCCUCUAGCACUCUUGCAAGUGUCUAUACAGACCAGAGAAAAGCAAGAUUCCACAAAAAUAAGGCUAGCGUUUGGAUACAGUUUUUUUUUUUUUAAACUCUGUAGGAAGAACAUGACAUAAGGCUAUAAGCCGAAAUGUUCCUAAAAGUUGGGAAGAUUUUUUGUCAUGUUAAACAUCUUAAACUAAUGUGUGCUGACUAAAGGUUUGCACAGACGUGUUAGAAAGACACUCUUUAGAGAUAUGUGCCUUGAGUGGCUGGAAUCUAGCACAUAAUAAAUCCUCAAUAAAUUGUGUCUAUUAUUUUUCCUGGUCUUAAAUAGUCAAUGAUUUUUGUUUUGUU